GAUAAACGCUGGCGGCGUGCCUAACACAUGCAAGUCGAACGAUCCCGCAAGGGAGAGUGGCGGAAGGGUGAGUAACACGUGGGAAUCUACCUCCUCGCAGGGAACAACCUCUCGAAAGAGAGGCUAAUACCCAAAAGGGUCAGAAAUGAUCAGAGUCGAAAGGCGUGAGGAGAGGAGCCCGCGGCCCAUCAGCUAGUUGGUGAGGUAAUGGCUUACCAAGGCUACGACGGGUAGGGGAUCUGAGAGGAUGUCCCCCACACUGGAACUGAAACACGGUCCAGACGCCUACGGGUGGCAGCAGUGAGGAAUAUUGGACAAUGGGCGAAAGCCCGAUCCAGCAACGCCGCGUGGAGGAUGAAGGCCUUGGGCCGUAAACUUCUUUAGAGGGAGACGAGAAAGGACGGUAUCCCUAGAAUAAGCGACGGCAAACUACGUGCCAGCAGCCGCGGUAAU
rnacentral:rRNA from 1 species